rnacentral:rRNA from 1 species
GACGAACGCUGGCGGCGUGCUUAACACAUGCAAGUCGAACGGAAAGGCCCUGCUUUUGUGGGGUGCUCGAGUGGCGAACGGGUGAGUAACACGUGAGUAACCUGCCCUUGACUUUGGGAUAACUUCAGGAAACUGGGGCUAAUACCGGAUAGGAGCUCCUGCUGCAUGGUGGGGGUUGGAAAGUUUCGGCGGUUGGGGAUGGACUCGCGGCUUAUCAGCUUGUUGGUGGGGUAGUGGCUUACCAAGGCUUUGACGGGUAGCCGGCCUGAGAGGGUGACCGGCCACAUUGGGACUGAGAUACGGCCCAGACUCCUACGGGAGACAGCAGUGGGGAAUAUUGCACAAUGGGCGGAAGCCUGAUGCAGCAACGCCGCGUGCGGGAUGACGGCCUUCGGGUUGUAAACCGCUUUCGCCUGUGACGAAGCGUGGGUGACGGUAAUGGGUAAAGAAGCACCGGCUAACUACGUG